rnacentral:tRNA from 1 species
GCCGGACUGGUGGAAUUGGUAGACACCCGGGACUUAAAAUCCCGUAGACUUUGGUCUGUGCGGGUUCGAGUCCCGCGUCCGGCACCA